CAGCUGAUAUGUGCACUUAAUAAACGUCACUCCAUUUAACUACCGUUCUGUAUCGAUCACAAGAUAAUGCUACACAAUGCACAAUUCAAGCUAAACUAUGGAGAUAAAGAUAGGUUUAGGAGGCUUCUCUAAGAGACUUUUGGAAACCCUUAACUGCACUUACAGCAUCAGAGAGCUCGUAAAGGUUUCAAAGGCUUCAAUUAAUUGAAGCCUUUAAGUGCUCUUGAACCCUUUGGAUCUUUGCGUAGUAGACCUCGGCAUUUAUUUACCGCGUAGUUAAUAACUUUUGCCUAGAAAAUUGAGAUGCGGCUGCCGAGGAAGCCUAGGAAAUCGAAAUUUAAAAAUAAAUCAGUAAGGCAUGGAGAGCAGGUAUCUCAUGGGGAAGUCAAGCAAGUAGAAUAAGUCUAGGAAGUUCAACAGUUCGAAAAAGUAGAAGAAACCGAAGCAGGCAAAGUGAAAUUGAAACCGGAAAUUGGAAGUAGAAGCGAAAACGUAAAAGCGAAACCAAAGAUUGGUAUUUGGUAACCUGGAAAUGGAAACCUUAGCAUGAAGAAAAGGCAUGAAGAAAUUGAGAACCGGAAACCGGAAACGAGAAACCGCAACGUGGAAAACUGGAAGCGGGGAAGGCUUAAUUAGCCUUUAAAAGUGUCAUAGCAUUAAAAAAACCCUCUAGUGUUCUAGAAGAGUUUUUCAUGAACCCAGAAGAUUCUAGCAGCACUCAACAAGCUAAAGGACCUAGGUAGAGCAUUUCAGCUGCGCCGCAGGUGCCAUAGGAGGGUAUUAGCUUUUAAAAAUUUUAUGGCGCAUUGCGCAGUCCAAAAGGCAUCCGUCGGAACAGGUAACAAGUUUCGCCCGAAGUUGUAAACAUGGUCGAUUGUUGACAACAUCUUAACCUUGACAGAGAUGAGUAAGGUACGAUCCAAAAGGUCUCCAGCAUUCUCUUCUCGAACAAAAUCCCAAAACGUCAAAAUUGUGAAAGUGCAGUUCACAUUAACAGCAAAAUAAGACUCAGGUCGCCGUUAAAGCAUCGUAAGGUCAAAGUCGUUAUAAUUUGCUGACUAAUUUCAGCGACCAUUAAAUUAUUCCAAAAAAUGCGGCGAUUUAACAAAUUGAAGUUAUUGUAGGAACAAUAAUCUUGCCAUGACAUUUUUGAGCUAUUAAUACUUUUCCAUUCGGUCGUCUCUUUUCAUACUCUUCUCACCGUUUUCUGGCAAUCCCCAUUUGCUGUUU